GUGAGGAAUAUUGCGCAAUGGAGGCAACUCUGACGCAGCCAUGCCGCGUGCAGGAAGAAGGCGCUACGCGUUGUAAACUGCUUUUAACCGGGAAGAAACCCCAGGACGUGUCCUGGGUUGACGGUACCGGAGGAAUAAGCACCGGCUAACUUCGUGCCAGCAGCCGCGGUAAUACGAAGGGUGCAAGCGUUAUCCGGAUUCAUUGGGUUUAUAGGGUGCGUAGGCGGAGCGUUAAGUCAGUGGUGAAAUCCUGCAGCUUAACUGUAGACUUGCCAUUGAUACUGGCGCUCUUGAGUGCGCUUGAAGUGGGCGGAAUGUGCCGUGUAGCGGUGAAAUGCUUAGGUAUGGCACAGAACACCAAUUGCGAAGGCAGCUCACUAAGGCGAUACUGACGCUGAGGCACGAAAGCGUGGGGAUCGAACAGGAUUAGAUACCCGAGUAGUCC
rnacentral:rRNA from 1 species